UGCAGUCGAGCGAACUGAUUAGAAGCUUGCUUCUAUGACGUUAGCGGCGGACGGGUGAGUAACACGUGGGCAACCUGCCUGUAAGACUGGGAUAACUUCGGGAAACCGAAGCUAAUACCGGAUAGGAUCUUCUCCUUCAUGGGAGAUGAUUGAAAGAUGGUUUCGGCUAUCACUUACAGAUGGGCCCGCGGUGCAUUAGCUAGUUGGUGAGGUAACGGCUCACCAAGGCAACGAUGCAUAGCCGACCUGAGAGGGUGAUCGGCCACACUGGGACUGAGACACGGCCCAGACUCCUACGGGAGGCAGCAGUAGGGAAUCUUCCGCAAUGGACGAAAGUCUGACGGAGCAACGCCGCGUGAGUGAUGAAGGCUUUCGGGUCGUAAAACUCUGUUGUUAGGGAAGAACAAGUACGAGAGUAACUGCUCGUACCUUGACGGUACCUAACCAGAAAGCCACGGCUAACUACGUGCCAGCAGCCGCGGUAAUACGUAGGUGGCAAGCGUUAUCCGGAAUUAUUGGGCGUAAAGCGCGCGCAGGCGGUUUCUUAAGUCUGAUGUGAAAGCCCACGGCUCAACCGUGGAGGGUCAUUGGAAACUGGGGAACUUGAGUGCAGAAGAGAAAAGCGGAAUUCCACGUGUAGCGGUGAAAUGCGUAGAGAUGU
rnacentral:rRNA from 3 species